AGAACAUACAAUAUAUAAUAAAAUCAAAACAAAAAUUGUCUGCGAGGUCUGUCAUGAGAUAACUUCAAAAGGAAUGUCCACUGGACGACGAGGUCAUUGUUUGCGUCAGUAACACAAAUUGUACAUAGAUUUGAACUAAUAAUAAAUGUCUGUGUAGGUAACACCUAUACAAAUAUAUUUUCAAAAGAGAUUGAAUUUCCAAAAAUAUCUAUCAAUAAUCUCCAUUUGUACUUCCCCGUCCUUGUGUUUACACUCCUUAAUUUCUGAACAUUUCCUAACAGUGUAUUUAUAUUUCGUGUAAAUAUUGUUAAUGAAAGUUAUAUACCCAAGUUGAAAUAAGUUGUGCCCAAUUUAAAUAUAAAUAUGUUGAAACAACACAGAAGAUAUAUAUCCACUGCCCUCCACUGGAUAGACUUGCGGUUUUUUUCUUAUGAUUUUUUCAAAUAUAUUUUCAUCAUUUAACUGGAUUUGGGCGACAGUAUAAAAAGACAAUUAAGUUAUUUUGUUUAAGACGUCGAUAAGAAUUAAGGACUGACGCGUUGAUGCCCCAGAAACAUUUUACUUUUUAGACUUACGGCAGAAGUUACACAUAUAACAACUUUCACCAACGUGGAUUUUCGAAAAUCGCGAAAAUAUAAUGAUUGUUACAAUACAAAUAGUGUUAACUCAUAUAGGAAUAAUUCGCUUUCGAUGCAGUAGUCCCAUUCCCACUUUACACUUGUGCUAAAAUAUCUCAUGACAUUAUUAUUAUUUUUCUUACAAAAUAUAUGUUUAAAAAAUGGCAAUAAAUAUCAUAUUAGAAGCAACAAAUAGCAUAAGAGAAAAAGAAGAAAGUUUGACAUAUCUUCAUUAAAUACAAUCUACUUUGUUUGGAAACAAAUUUUAUAAAAAGACACACAAACUUGACAUGAAUGUUCCUGGAAGAAUGACCUCAUAUGUUUACUUUCAAACUUCGAAUCUGAAAGCAAACACAGGAUUUGUAACUGCCUGUACAGAAAAGGCACUUGCAUGAUUUAUUCAAUGUCAAUUUCGUUUCCGUUUACCAAUGCAACAUUUUAAUGUUCGGGCUACGAUAUCCGCCAUUAUGGAUUGGUCACUUCGCUUUCAGCAUGCUGUCGGCUUGUUUAAAUCAGAGACUCUCAGAUAGCGUAUUUUAGUCGCUGUUUAUCAUUAUAAAAUAAUAUUUAUGAAAACGUUGCGAGAUUUUUUAAUAUUGAUUAGAAAAAUUGGUCCGGCUAGUCAAAUUGGUCCUCUACAGACGUCGAACUCGCGAGUGCGCAUGAAUGAUAUGGUAUUUAAUAAUUCGUCGGGUGAUUUUUGUGGUGGUUUUGAAAAGUGUGGUAGGGAACACUGUAAGGAUGAUGUGGAUAAUAGUAAGGAACGAUGGAGGAAUAAGCAUGACUAGUGACGACACAACGAAAGACAACACUGGCAGUCACAGCGGCAUGGACAAACAACGGAACACGCGCCACGACCACGCACUACUGAUCACGCACUACGACCACGCCCCACGGAUCACGUACCAGGGAUCACGCCCCACGACCAAGCACCACGGAACACGCACCACAGGAUACGGAUCAAGCACCACGGAUCACGCACCACGGCCACGGAACACGAACCGCGACCACGCACCACAGGAAACGCACCACGGUUCACGCACUACAGGACAAGCACCACGGGUCACGCACCACGGAACACGCACCACAUCCACGGAACAUGCACCGCGACCACGCACAACAGGACACGCACGACGGAACGAACCGCGGAUCACGCACCACAGGACACGCACUACGGAUCACGCACCACAGGACACGCACUACGGAUCACGCACCACGGAUCACGCACCACAGGAGACGGAACACGCACCACGACAAUGCAACGCGGAAUAUUGUAAGAGAGAAAAGAAAAUGUACAUUGUGUACAAAUUUGAUAUGUGAUGAAAUGCACUUUUUAUUAGAAUGUCCAAAACUCUCAGAAAUUAGAAACAAGUUUUUGCCUCAAUACUACUGUAUGUAUCCUUCUGCCAUAAAAUUCUCCUAUUUGAUGUCCAUUACUUAUAAGCCACUUCUAUUAAAACUGGCGAGUUAUAUAAGAUCAUGUAUGGAAAUGUUCCACUGACAUGUUUUCUCCUAUUGUAUCUAAUUCCUGUAUCCAAUUACAUCUCUGUAUCACUGCCGUGAUUUACGAGAAUAAACGUCAUUCAUUCAUUCAA
rnacentral:lncRNA from 1 species